rnacentral:rRNA from 1 species
CGUAGGGGGCAAGCGUUGUCCGGAAUUAUUGGGCGUAAAGAGCGCGCAGGCGGGUCUGUCAGUCUACCGUGAAAGCUUACGGCUCAACCGUAACGGGUCGGUGGAUACUGCAGAUCUUGAGGGCAGGAGAGGAAAGUGGAAUUCCCAGUGUAGCGGUGAAAUGCGUAGAUAUUGGGAGGAACACCAGUGGCGAAGGCGACUUUCUGGACUGUUACUGACGCUGAGGCGCGAAAGCUGGGGGAGUGAACGGGAUUAGAUACCCCGGUAAUCCCAGCCGUAAACGAUGGGUACUAGGUGUAGGAGGUAUCGACCCCUUCUGUGCCGGAGUUAACGCAAUAAGCACCCCGCCUGGGGAGUACGGCCGCAAGGCUA